rnacentral:lncRNA from 1 species
AUGGGGUGGAAUUUUCCAGCAAUUCUUCUGUCUUUGAUCUUCAUCAUUCUGGCAUUCGCCACAGUGGCAGUUCUAGUCCUGAAAUAUAUACAACACAAGAAAAAAUCGUUUGGACCUUGCAGUGCAGAACAACAGGAGUGUCUUUUGAAGUGCCAGGAUCAGAAAGCUCAAUGUGAGGAAUCCAUCGCACAAUCUACAGACUCCUUUAACAUUCCAGCAACAUCUUCAACCAGCCUAAGUUACUUGGCUAAAAAUACCCCAAAUACAAUCCACGGAGAUAUCUGGUUACAAGGAACAAUUGAAGAUGGCAUUGACUUAGGAGAAGAAAAAAUCUACUAUUUUGAAGAGGAAUGCUUCCAGGAAAAUGGGGGGGAAGCCAGCAAAAAUAAAACCAAGGAAAGAAAUGAAGUUCUCCUUGAAGAGGAAGAAAGGGAAGAUGGGAAGGCUAAAGUGGACAAGGAGAAGGAAACAGAACAAGAAAAGAGCAUGAUGUAUAAAAGAACAAAAAAUAGGAUGAAAGCAAGAAAUUGA